rnacentral:rRNA from 1 species
UACGGAGGGUGCAAGCGUUAUCCGGAUUCACUGGGUUUAAAGGGUGUGUAGGCGGGUACGUUAAGUCAGUGGUGAAAUCUCCAGGCUCAACCUGGAAACUGCCAUUGAUACUAUUUAUCUUGAAUAUCGUUGAGGUAGGCGGAAUAUGUCAUGUAGCGGUGAAAUGCUUAGAGAUGACAUAGAACACCAAUUGCGAAGGCAGCUUACUAAACGAAGAUUGACGCUGAGGCACGAAAGCGUGGGGAUCAAACAGG